rnacentral:lncRNA from 1 species
GUAAAUCGGAGGAUGGAGUCAAGUGGGAAGCUGGACUCUUACGGUGAAUGUUGUCAACUAAGUAUAUCAGGUCCUUAUGUGUUCAGAUUGGAUUCAAAUAACUUGCAGUUGUCCUGCCAUCAAAAUGAGUUUAGCACGAUUAUUGUUAUAAAUCUUGAUUUUACUAUCCCGCAUUUUUGUUCCUUCAAGAGAGGGCAUCUAUAUGGAUAUGCCCAAUAUAUGCAGCAUGUUUUCUUUUCUUUUUUGCUUCUUAUUUUACCAAGCUUUUUUUAGCAGAGGCCC